rnacentral:miRNA from 1 species
GUACGGGAGGUUGCGAGGUUC